UACGAAGGGUGCAAGCGUUACUCGGAAUUACUGGGCGUAAAGCGUGCGUAGGUGGUUCGUUAAGUCCGAUGUGAAAGCCCUGGGCUCAACCUGGGAAUGGCAUUGGAUACUGGCGGGCUAGAGUGCGGUAGAGGGCAGUGGAAUUCCCGGUGUAGCAGUGAAAUGCGUAGAUAUCCGGAGGAACACCGGUGGCGAAGGCGGCUUCCUGGACCGAUACUGACGCUGAGGCGCGAAAGCUAGGGGAGCAAACGGG
rnacentral:rRNA from 1 species